GUAUGUAAACUAAAACUAUACACAGCCACAGGUAGGAAUAACUCAAUGCUUACUACGUGCCAGGCACUUUGUCUGGAUCACAAUGGAUCUUUAUGACAAGUAUUAUGUCUCUUAAACCCUACUUUAGAGGGUGAAAAUACUCAAACACACAACUUAAUCUACAUUAAUUAUCCAAAAUGCUGAUUCCCCUUUAAACAUUUCAGACUGAUGACAUGAGGGGCUGCUAGCUGUCCCACUGUGUUGAGUAGUGAUUCUGCUCCUUAACUGUAAUUGUCCGCCUUGAAUGUUUCACAGAUGAGAAGAGGGAGGCAUGGAGAGUCUGGAUCACUAAAGCCAACCUGCCAGGCUUGCAAGAGGCAGAGCCAGGAGGAGACCCAGGCAGCCUGACUCCAGAAGCUAUGUUCCUAACCAAAGUCACACUGGGCAACACUGUACUUGAGCACCUUAUUCUCUACAUUUUCAUCCUUGAGGCAGAAAACAAGCGAAGGCUCUUCCAGGCACACAGCUUGUCCAUGCUCAGCCUCCCUUGCAUUUAUGCUAUAAGCAGACUGGUGUGCGUUAUUGGCAGACCUUCCCAUAGAGCCGUCCCCUCCAAUAGCUGCCUUAGUGCUGUCCACCUGCCACAUAAGGGAGGAGGCCCUAGAAAUGGCAACAUGGACAAAUGGACAGUCUGGGCACUUCAAAGACUGAAUGGAACCCAGGUCCUUCCAUCUCCAUGCCAACCCCAGUCCACAAUGUCUAACUAUCCUGGCCUGUGACCAACGUGAGAAAGAAAUCAUUAUUAUGCUAAGCAGCUGAGAUGUGGGAGUGGGUUACUUUAACUAAUUCAACAGUGUUCGGGUCCUCUACAGCACUGACUGGCAGUUACAAUUUAUUUGUAUGUUAUUCACUUACUGCUGUCUUCUUUGCUCAAUUGUAAGCUCUGUGAGGGCAGCGACCAAAUCUAUUUCAUCUACUACCAUAGCUAAUAGCAAAUGCCCAGCCUGCAGCAAACACCCGGUAAUAUUUGUUAAUGGAAUAUUGGGAGGGUGGGAAAUGAAGGCAACUAAGUGAUCAGGGGUCAUGGUCACAAAGUGCUCCCACUGCCAGUGACAUGGGAACUGUGCUUAAUGAAAUUUAAAUCAAGAAUCAGAAA